rnacentral:rRNA from 1 species
GACGGAGGAUGCAAGCGUUAUCCGGAAUGAUUGGGCGUAAAGCGUCCGCAGGUGGCAGUUCAAGUCUGCUGUCAAAGACCGGGGCUUAACUUCGGAAAGGCAGUGGAAACUGAACAGCUAGAGUAUGGUAGGGGCAGAGGGAAUUCCUGGUGUAGCGGUGAAAUGCGUAGAGAUCAGGAAGAACAUCGGUGGCGAAGGCGGCCUUCUGGACAGUGACUGACGCUGAGACGCGAAAGCGUGGGGAGCAAACAGG